rnacentral:rRNA from 1 species
AGUGAACGCUGGCGGUAGGCCUAACACAUGCAAGUCGAACGGCAGCACAGUAAGAGCUUGCUCUUACGGGUGGCGAGUGGCGGACGGGUGAGGAAUACAUCGGAAUCUACUUUUUCGUGGGGGAUAACGUAGGGAAACUUACGCUAAUACCGCAUACGACCUACGGGUGAAAGCAGGGGAUCUUCGGACCUUGCGCGAUUGAAUGAGCCGAUGUCGGAUUAGCUAGUUGGCGGGGUAAGGGCCCACCAAGGCGACGAUCCGUAGCUGGUCUGAGAGGAUGAUCAGCCACACUGGAACUGAGACACGGUCCAGACUCCUACGGGAGGCAGCAGUGGGGAAUAUUGGACAAUGGGCGCAAGCCUGAUCCAGCCAUACCGCGUGGGUGAAGAAGGCCUUUGGGUUGUAAAGCCCUUUUGUUGGGAAAGAAAAGCAGCAGGUUAAUACCCCGCUGUUCUGACGGUACCCAAAGAAUAAGCACCGGCUAACUUCGUG